rnacentral:pre_miRNA from 7 species
AUCUACUGUUCUUGUAAGACCCCCUUUCGGGGACCCCCACUCUAGUCUCAGGAUUGUGAGAGCACCCAAAGAAACACGAGGACCC